GUAAGGGAUAUUGCGACAAUGGGCGAAAGCCUGACGCAGCAACGCCGCGUGCGGGAUGACGGCCUUCGGGUUGUAAACCGCUUUUCAGGGGGAAGAGGAAGGACGGUACCCCUGGAAGAAGUCUCGGCUAACUACGUGCCAGCAGCCGCGGUAAAACGUAGGAGGCGAGCGUUAUCCGGAUUUACUGGGUGUAAAGCGCGUGUAGGCGGACGUGUAAGUCGUGUGUGAAAGCGCCCAGGCUCAACCGGGCGAGGACAUGCGAAACUGCACGACUAGAGGUAGGUAGAGGCGUGUGGAAUUCCGGGUGUAGUGGUGAAAUGCGUAGAGAUCCGGAGGAACACCAGUGGCGAAGGCGGCACGCUGGGCCUGACCUGACGCUCAGACGCGAAAGCAUGGGGAGCGAACGGGAUUAGAAACCCCAGUAGUCC
rnacentral:rRNA from 1 species